GAUCGGCUUGGUGGGGUGACCGAACGCCGGGUCGUCGCGGUCCACCUCGAUCAUCGUCAGCAGCGUGGCGAGCGGCUGUUCAGUCGGCAGCAGAUUGCC
rnacentral:tRNA from 1 species